rnacentral:lncRNA from 1 species
CAGAGCUAGUGUGGAGGCAGAUGUGUGUGUGUGUUUAUAGGAGCAGUAUAGGGAGGAUCCCUGGUGUAGUUGGAUAUGGGACAGACAGACAGACAGACAGACAGACAGACAGACAGACAGACAGACAGACAGACUUGGAUAUGGGACCGACAGACAGACAGACAGACAGACAGACAGACAGACAGACAGACAGACAGACACAGACACAGACAGACAGACAGACAGACAGACAGACGUAGUUGGAUAUGGGACAGACAGACAGACAGACAGACAGACAGACAGACGUAGUUGGAUAUGGGACAGACAGACAGACAGACAGACAGACAGACAGACAGACAGACAGACAGACAGACAGACGUAGUUGGAUAUCAGACAGACAGACAGACAGACAGACAGACAGACAGACAGACAGACAGACGUAGUUGGAUAUCAGACAGACAGACAGACAGACAGACAGACACUGGUGUAGUUGGAUAUCAGACAGACAGACAGACAGACAGACUGGAGUAGUUGGAUAUUUGGACACUAGGCUAACACCCUCCAUGUGAUUGUCUGAAAUGACACCCUAUUCCCUACAUAGUGCAGAGUUCUCCGGUCAAAAGUAGUGCACUAUCCCAUAGGGCUCCGGUCAAAAGUAGUGCACUAUCCCAUAGGGCUCCGGUCAAAAGUAGUGCACUAUCCCAUAGGGCUCUGGUCAAAAGUAGCGCACUAUGUAGGGAAUAGCAUGCUGUUUCAGACACCGCCUGUCUGUCUGUGGAGUGUAAAGAUGUGUUGUUGAUUCUAAUCACAAUCUUUUUGUAAAUUGCAUCAAAAUGGUUUAAAAGCCUCCAUCGGGUUUAAGUUACUGUACAACUGGAAGAUGAUUGGCUGAUGUUUUAAUGAUCCUCUCAGGUGGUCACUGCUUUGAUUGGACGGGAUGAAAUGGUGCUCUGUGAAUGGCUGUUAUGUUGAUGGGGGGCGGGUCUGACCUGUUCUCUCUCUCUGUUUCUAUUGGUCACAUUACUGAUCCGUCUGUCUGUAAAUACAGCUACUGUCUCGAAAGGCAUCCUUUUGGUCGUUACUAGUUAAUACAGCCACAAAGUCAUACUUAUGGCUAAACCCCGCCUAUUUCUAAAAUGUUUAUUCUUAAAAUCAGAUUUUAAACCUAACCCUAACCACAAUGAUAACCUAAUGCCUAACCUUAUUAAAUGAAGUCCAAAAAGCACAUGUUUGUUUUCAUGAAUUUUUUACGAUAUAGCCAAUGCCCUGACUUUGUGGCUGUGAUACAGACAGGAAGUACACUAAACUACAGGAAGUGCUAGGUCACAUGACGGAACAAUUCCAGAAUGAAGUGCAGGUUCUAGAACCAUCCAUGUAGCUAAUGAUUGUGCCUUCUGUUUUACCGUCAUUACGUCCCUAAUGGCACCGGUAGUCCCUAUGUAGUGCACUAGUUUUGGCCAGUCCACUUUCCAUAGGCCCUUGCGAUAGACUGGUGUCCUAUUUAGGGGGUGUACUUGUACAUCAAGCUGCCUCACACUACAGAAACAGGAGAAACAGAGCGAACCUUUUUGGCUCUGACGAUGCUUACUUACUAUACAGGUAAUAUUGGGUCAUUUGAGACACAUACUGUGUGAUAGUGGAUGGGGACGGUUCUACUGUGUGGUAGUGGAUGGGGUCGGUUCUACUGUGUGAUAGUGGAUGGGGUCGUUUCUACUGUGUGAUAGUGGAUGGGGACGGUUCUACUGUGUGAUAGUGGAUGGGGUCGUUCUACUGUGUGGUAGUGGAUGGGGACGGUUCUACUGUGUGGUAGUGGAUGGGGUCGUUCUACUGUGUGGUAGUGGAUGGGGACGUUCUACUGUGUGAUAGUGGAUGGGGACGGUUCUACUGUGUGAUAGUGGAUGGGGUCGUUCUACUGUGUGAUAGUGGAUGGGGUCGUUCUACUGUGUGGUAGUGGAUGGGGUCGUUCUACUGUGUGAUAGUGGAUGGGGACGUUCUACUGUGUGGUAGUGGAUGGGGUCAUUCUACUGUGUGAUAGUGGAUGGGGACGUUCUACUGUGUGAUAGUGGAUGGGGUCGUUCUACUGUGUGAUAGUGGAUGGGGACGUUCUACUGUGUGGUAGUGGAUGGGGUCGUUCUACUGUGUGAUAGUGGAUGGGGACGUUCUACUGUGUGAUAGUGGAUGGGGUCGUUCUACUGUGUGAUAGUGGAUGGGGACGUUCUACUGUGUGGUAGUGGAUGGGGUCGUUCUACUGUGUGGUAGUGGAUGGGGUCGUUCUACUGUGUGGUAGUGGAUGGGGACGUUCUACUGUGUGAUAGUGGAUGGGGUCGUUCUACUGUGUGAUAGUGGAUGGGUUCGUUCUACUGUGUGGUAGUGGAUGGGGUCGUUCUACUGUGUGGUAGCGGAUGGGGUCGUUCUACUGUGUGGUAGCGGAUGGGGACGUUCUACUGUGUGGUAGCGGAUGGGGUCGUUCUACUGUGUGAUAGUGGAUGGGGACGUUCUACUGUGUGAUAGUGGAUGGGGUCGUUCUACUGUGUGAUAGUGGAUGGGGUCGUUCUACUGUGUGGUAGUGGAUGGGGACGUUCUACUGUGUGAUAGUGGAUGGGGUCGUUCUACUGUGUGAUAGUGGAUGGGGACGGUUCUACUGUGUGAUAGUGGAUGGGGUCGUUCUACUGUGUGAUAGUGGAUGGGGUCGUUCUACUGUGUGAUAGUGGAUGGGGUCGUUCUACUGUGUGGUAGUGGAUGGGGUCGUUCUACUGUGUGAUAGUGGAUGGGGUGGUGAUCUGAUCCUCUGUCUGUCUGUCUGCGUACCGAUCUGUCUGUGGUGAUCUGAUCCUCUGUCUGUCUGCGUACCGAUCUGUCUGUGUGUUUUUGGGUUAAACUCGUCAGGUUCAUUGGUGUAUCUAGUCAGUCAGAACCUACCAAUUAGAAUCACUGAGGUCACUAGAGAUCAGCCAAACUGAAAUGUUGUGUAGAGUGGAAGGUAAGCAUGUGUACUACAUCAUACACAACAUGUGUACUACAUCAUACACAACAUGUGUACUACAUCAUACACAACAUGUGUACUACAUCAUACACAACAUGUGUACUACAUCAUACACAACAUGUGUAGAGUGGAAGGUGAGCAUUUGUACUACAUCAUACACAACAUGUGUACUACAUCAUACACAACAUGUGUAGAGUGGAAGGUGAGCAUUUGUACUACAUCAUACACAACAUGUGUACUACAUCAUACACAACAUGUGUACUACAUCAUACACGACAUGUGUAGAGUGGAAGGUGAACAUGUGUACUACAUCAUACACAACAUGUGUACUACAUCAUACACAACAUGUGUACUACAUCAUCAUACCUCUGCCUUUUACAUCUGUAAACAGGAAGUGAUAUCAGCAGCAUUUAAACAGUACUGUCCUUCAUUUCAGGUCUUCAGUCAUUUCAGAACAAGAACAACGAAGAUGAACAGUGAAAAACAGCCUGAACGUUAUUAUCUGAAGGCCAAACUAGCUUUUUAGCGGCAGGAAUAUUCUUAGAUACUUUGCCGUAACGGGGGGAAAUAAAAACCUAAAAUGCAUUUAAACUGAACAAUAAAAAUGAGUAAAUCAUACCUCUGCAUUUUUACGUCUGACCCUAAGAAAUCUCUGUUUCAACUAGAAUUGUAAGGGGGGGGUGUAGUGGUGUAAUGUAUUGUGAAGUGUGUGUACACUGAGUAUACAAAACAUUAAGAACACCUGCUCUUUCCAUGACAGACUGACCAGGUGAAUCCAGGUGAAAGCUAUGAUCCCUUUUUGAUGUCACCUGUUAAAUCCACUUCAAUCAGUGUAGAUGAAGGGGAGGAGACGAGUUAAAGAAGGGUUUUAAUCCAUGAGACAAUUGAGACAUGGAUUGUGUAUGUGUGACCAUUCAGAGGGUGAAUGGGCAAGACAAAAUAUUGAAGUGCCUUUAAACGGGGUAAUGGUAGUAGGUGCUAGGCGGUUUGUGUCAAGAACUGCAACACUGCUGGGUUUUUUACCCUCAACAGUUUCCUGUGUGUAUCAAGAAUGGUCCACCACCCAAAGGACAUCCAGCCAACUUGAUACAACUGUGGGGAAGCAUUGGAGUCAACAUGGACCAGCAUCCCUGUGGAAACGCUUUCGACACCUUGUCGAGUCCAUGACCCCGAUGAACUGAGGCUGUUCUGAGGGCAAAACGAUGGUGAAACUCAAUAUUAGGAAGGUGUUCUUAAUGUUUUGUACACUCUCAGUGUAGGUUAAUAUUGAACCUACUGGUUAUUUACCCACAAAUCACCAGGUCCUGGAAGGACAGCUUCUCCCUCCCUCUCAAGCUGUAGUGGUAGAGAACAUCAUUGGUAGCAAUUUUGCAGAGGACAGAAGUUUUUAUUUAUUAUAACCUUUAACUAGUAAUUGAUCUAAAAUGACAGACAAAAGUGAGUGUCAGUUUCCCCAUUAUCCUGAAUACUGUGAUUUACAACCGAUUGUUGUGGGAAGAUCUGGGAACAAAACUGAAUUGGUUCUCGAUUAAUUGUUUCCAGCUUCAUCAGGUUGUUUCGGAAACCGGAAAUAGUUUUAAGUCGAGUACAAAGGUUAUAGUUAAUAGUCCAAUUCAUUUCAAUGUUUUUCUAUACUUUAGUGAACAAUCAUCUCCCCAUAACAUCCUCACACCCUUGUCGAAAUAAAGCAAGAAAGUUGGCUGUGGUCUGUGAUUUAUCCAAGUUAUAUAGUGUCCGUGAUACUUUUACGCAGUAGGCCUUAACCUAACGACACACGGCGACUUGUAACAUUAAAGUUAUAAUCCUUAGUUGCCACAUCCAUUU